rnacentral:rRNA from 1 species
UCGAACGAGCGAGAGAGAGCUUGCUUUCUCGAGCGAGUGGCGAACGGGUGAGUAACGCGUGAGGAACCUGCCUCAAAGAGGGGGACAACAGUUGGAAACGACUGCUAAUACCGCAUAAGCCCACGACCCGGCAUUGGGUAGAGGGAAAAGGAGCAAUCCGCUUUGAGAUGGCCUCGCGUCCGAUUAGCUAGUUGGUGAGGUAACGGCCCACCAAGGCGACGAUCGGUAGCCGGACUGAGAGGUUGAACGGCCACAUUGGGACUGAGACACGGCCCAGACUCCUACGGGAGGCAGCAGUGGGGAAUAUUGCACAAUGGGGGAAACCCUGAUGCAGCGACGCCGCGUGGAGGAAGAAGGCCUUCGGAUUGUAAACUCCUGUUGUUGAGGAAGAUAAUGACGGUACUCAACAAGGAAGUGACGGCUAACUACGUGCCAGCAGCCGCGGUAAAACGUAGGUCACAAGCGUUGUCCGGAAUUACUGGGUGUAAAGGGAGCGCAGGCGGGAAGGCAAGUUGGAAGUGAAAUCCAUGGGCUCAACCCAUGAACUGCUUUCAAAACUGUUUUUCUUGAGUAGUGCAGAGGUAGGCGGAAUUCCCGGUGUAGCGGUGGAAUGCGUAGAUAUCGGGAGGAACACCAGUGGCGAAGGCGGCCUACUGGGCACCAACUGACGCUGAGGCUCGAAAGUGUGGGUAGCAAACAGGAUUAGAUACCCUGGUAGUCCACACUGUAAACGAUCAUAAAGGGUGUUGGAGGAUUGACCCCUUCAGUGCCGCAGUAACACAAUAAG